rnacentral:rRNA from 1 species
UUAAACGGCCGCGGUAUCCUAACCGUGCAAAGGUAGCAUAAUCACUUGUCCCCUAAAUAGGGACUAGAAUGAACGGUUAAAUGAGGGCUUCACUGUCUCUUACAUUCGACCAAUAAACCUGAUCUUUCAGUCCAAAAGCUGAAAUAAACCCAUAAGACGAGAAGACCCUGUGGAGCUUCCAAACCAAGCCCACCACCCUAUGUCCCCUUGGUUUUUAGUUGGGGCGACUUUGGAGCACAAACAACCCUCCAACUACGGACCCUCCCCUCUAGAUGUACAUAUCAACAAAAAUUUUCCCCGACCCAGUAGCUAAAUUGUCUAUCUGACCAAUGGACCAAGUUACCCCAGGGAUAACAGCGCCAUCCUCUUCUAGAGUCCCUAUCGACAAGAGGGUUUACGACCUCGAUGUUGGAUCAGGACACCCCUAUAGUGCAGCCGCUAUAAAAGGUUCGUUUGUUCAACGAUUAAAGUCCUACGUGAUCU